GUGGGGAAUCUUGCGCAAUGGGCGAAAGCCUGACGCAGCCAUGCCGCGUGAAUGAUGAAGGUCUUAGGAUUGUAAAAUUCUUUCACCGGGGACGAUAAUGACGGUACCCGGAGAAGAAGCUCCGGCUAACUUCGUGCCAGCAGCCGCGGUAAUACGAAGGGGGCUAGCGUUGCUCGGAAUUACUGGGCGUAAAGGGCGCGUAGGCGGACAGCUUAGUCAGAGGUGAAAGCCCAGGGCUCAACCUUGGAAUUGCCUUUGAUACUGGCUGUCUUGAGUUUGCGAGAGGUGAGUGGAACUCCGAGUGUAGAGGUGAAAUUCGUAGAUAUUCGGAAGAACACCAGUGGCGAAGGUGACUCACUGGCCCAAUACUGACGCUGAGGCGCGAAAGCGUGGGGAGCAAACAGGAUUAGAUACCCGUGUAGUCC
rnacentral:rRNA from 1 species